GACGUAGGGCUCGAGCGUUGUCCGGAUUUAUGGGGCGUAAAGAGCUCGUAGGCGGCUUGUCGCGUCGUCCGUGAAAACCCACAGCUCAACUGUGGGCUUGCGGUCGAUACGGGCAGGCUAGAGUUCGGUAGGGGAGACUGGAAUUCCUGGUGUAGCGGUGAAAUGCGCAGAUAUCAGGAGGAACACCGGUGGCGAAGGCGGGUCUCUGGGCCGAUACUGACACUGAGAAGCGAAAGCAUGGGGAGCGAACAGG
rnacentral:rRNA from 1 species